GAGUAACACGUGAGUAACCUGCCCUUAACUCUGGGAUAAGCCUGGGAAACUGGGUCUAAUACCGGAUAGGAGCGCCUACCGCAUGGUGGGUGUUGGAAAGAUUUAUCGGUUUUGGAUGGACUCGCGGCCUAUCAGCUUGUUGGUGAGGUAAUGGCUCACCAAGGCGACGACGGGUAGCCGGCCUGAGAGGGUGACCGGCCACACUGGGACUGAGACACGGCCCAGACUCCUACGGGAGGCAGCAGUGGGGAAUAUUGCACAAUGGGCGAAAGCCUGAUGCAGCGACGCCGCGUGAGGGAUGACGGCCUUCGGGUUGUAAACCUCUUUCAGUAGGGAAGAAGCGAAAGUGACGGUACCUGCAGAAGAAGCACCGGCUAACUACGUGCCAGCAGCCGCGGUAAUACGUAGGGUGCGAGCGUUAUCCGGAAUUAUUGGGCGUAAAGAGCUCGUAGGCGGUUUGUCGCGUCUGUCGUGAAAGUCCGGGGCUUAACCCCGGAUCUGCGGUGGGUACGGGCAGACUAGAGUGCAGUAGGGGAGACUGGAAUUCCUGGUGUAGCGGUGGAAUGCGCAGAUAUCAGGAGGAACACCGAUGGCGAAGGCAGGUCUCUGGGCUGUAACUGACGCUGAGGAGCGAAAGCAUGGGGAGCGAACAGGAUUAGAUACCCUGGUAGUCCAUGCCGUAAACGUUGGGCACUAGGUGUGGGGACCAUUCCACGGUUUCCGCGCCGCAGCUAACGCAUUAAGUGCCCCGCCUGGG
rnacentral:rRNA from 2 species